CCUACGGGGGGCUGCAGUGAGGAAUAUUGGUCAAUGGCCGGAAGGCUGAACCAGCCAAGUCGCGUGAGGGAAUAAGGCCCUAUGGGUCGUAAACCUCUUUUGUCAGGGAGUAAAGGCGUCCACGAGUGGACGAAAGGAGAGUACCUGAAGAAAAAGCAUCGGCUAAAUCCGUGCCAGCAGCCGCGGUAAUACGGGGGAUGCGAGCGUUAUCCGGAUUUAUUGGGUUUAAAGGGUGCGUAGGCGGAGUGUCAAGUCAGCGGUAAAAUUUCGGGGCUAAACCCCGUCGUGCCGUUGAAACUGACAGCCUUGAGUACGUGAGAGGUAAGCGGAAUGCGUGGUGUAGCGGUGAAAUGCAUAGAUAUCACGCAGAACGCCGAUUGCGAAGGCAGCUUACCGGCGCUCAACUGACGCUGAGGCACGAAAGUGCGGGUAUCGAACAGGAUUAGAUACCCUAGUAGUC
rnacentral:rRNA from 1 species